UACAGAGGGUGCAAGCGUUAAUCGGAAUUACUGGGCGUAAAGCGUGCGUAGACGGUCAUGUAAGUCGGGUGUGAAAGCCCCGGGCUCAACCUGGGAAUUGCAUUCGAGACUGCAUGGCUAGGGUGCGGAAGAGGGAAGCGGAAUUUCCGGUGUAGCGGUGAAAUGCGUAGAUAUCGGAAGGAACACCAGUGGCGAAAGCGGCUUCCUGGUCCAGCACCGACGUCAGGCACGAAAGCGUGGGGGAGCAAACAGG
rnacentral:rRNA from 1 species